rnacentral:rRNA from 1 species
UACGUAGGGGGCGAGCGUUAUCCGGAAUUACUGGGCGUAAAGCGCACGUAGCGGUUCGCCAAGUUUGGAGUGACAGUUGUCGGCUCAACCGACAAAGGACUUCAAAAACUGGUGAACUUGAGGACGAGAGAGGAACAUGGAACUCCAGGUGUAGUAGUGAAAUGCGUAGAUAUCUGGAAGAACACCAAUGGCGAAGGCAAUGUUCUGGCUCGUUUCUGACGCUCAGGUGCGAAAGCCAGGGGAGCGAACGGG